rnacentral:rRNA from 1 species
AACGAACGCUGGCGGCAGGCCUAACACAUGCAAGUCGAACGCUGUAGCAAUACAGAGUGGCAGACGGGUGCGUAACGCGUGGGAACAUACCCUUUGGUUCGGAAUAACUCAGGGAAACUUGAGCUAAUACCGGAUAAGUGCGAAAGCAGAAAGAUUUAUCGCCGAAGGAUUGGCCCGCGUCCGAUUAGCUAGUUGGUGAGGUAACGGCUCACCAAGGCGACGAUCGGUAGCUGGUCUGAGAGGAUGAUCAGCCACCCUGGGACUGAGACACGGCCCAGACUCCUACGGGAGGCAGCAGUGGGGAAUAUUGGACAAUGGGCGCAAGCCUGAUCCAGCCAUGCCGCGUGAGUGAUGAAGGCCUUAGGGUUGUAAAGCUCUUUUGUCCGGGAAGAUAAUGACUGUACCGGAAGAAUAAGCCCCGGCUAACUUCGUGCCAGCCGCCGCCGUAA